GACGGGUGAGUAACACGUGGGUAACCUGCCUUAUAGUGGGGAAUAGCCUUUCGAAAGGAAGAUUAAUACCCCAUAAGAUUGUAGUUUCGCAUGAAACAGCAAUUAAAGGAGCAAUUCGCUAUAAGAUGGACCCGCGGCGCAUUAGCUAGUUGGUGAGGUAACGGCUCACCAAGGCGACGAUGCGUAGCCGACCUGAGAGGGUGAUCGGCCACAUUGGGACUGAGACACGGCCCAGACUCC
rnacentral:rRNA from 1 species